GGCUCUCCUCUCUCUGCUCUGCACACAUAAACCCCUGUGUGUCUAAGAGCAGCAGGGCUGAGAGUGUAGGAGCCUCCAGCUCCUCUGAUGCUCUCUGAAAUAAC